rnacentral:rRNA from 1 species
ACUCCKACGGGAGGCAGCAGUGGGGAAUAUUGGACAAUGGGCGCAAGCCUGAUCCAGCCAUGCCGCGUGAGUGAUGAAGGCCUUAGGGUUGUAAAGCKCUUUUACCUGGGAAGAUAAUGASGGURCCMGGAGAAUAAGCCCCGGCUAACUUCGUGCCAGCRGCCGCGGUAAUACGAAGGGGGCUAGSGUUGUKCGGAUUUACUGGGCGUAAAGCGCACGUAGGCGGAUCUUUAASUCAGAGGUGARAUCCCAAGGCUCAACCUUGGAACUGCCUUUGAUACUGGGGAUCUUGAGUCCGGGAGAGGUGAGUGGAACUGCSAGUGUAGAGGUGAAAUUCGUAGAUAUUCGCAAGAACACCAGUGGCGAAGGCGGCUCACUGGSCCGGUACUGACGCUGASGUGCGAAAGCGUGGGGAGCAAACAGGAUUAGAUACCCUGGUAGUCCACGCCGUAMACGAUGGAUGCCAGCCGUUGGACAGCUUGCUGUUCAGUGGCGCAGUUAACGCUUUAAGCAUCCCGCCUGGGSGAGUACGGUCGCAAGAUUAAAACUCAAAGGAAUUGACGG